GAUGAACGCUAGCUACAGGCUUAACACAUGCAAGUCGAGGGGAAACGACAUCGAUAGCUUGCUUUUGAUGGGCGUCGACCGGCGCACGGGUGAGUAACGCGUAUCCAACCUGCCCACCACUUGCGGAUAACCUUGCGACAGUAAGACUAAUACCCAAUGACGUCUCUAGCAGACAUCUGAAAUUGAUUAAAGUUUUAUCGGUGCUGGAUGGGGCUGCGUCUGAUUAGCUUGUUGGCGUGGUAACGGCCCACCAAGGAAACGAUCAGUAGGGGUUCGGAGAGGAAGGUCCCGCACAGUGGAACUGAGACACGGUCCAAACUCAUACGGGAGGCAGCAGUGAGGAAUAUUGGUCAAUGGACGAGAGUAUGAACCAGAGAAGUAGCGUGCAGGAAGACGGGCCUAUGGGUUGUAAACUGCUUUAUAAGGGAAUAAAGUUAGUCUCGUGAGACUUUUUGAAUGUACCUUAUGAAUAAGGACCGGCUAAUUCCGUG
rnacentral:rRNA from 1 species